GCCUCGGUAGCCUAGAGGUUAUGGUCGCGGAUUCACGAUCGACGUUGUUUUCGUCGAGUCGUGGGUCACUAAAGACCCACCACGUAGCGGGGCU